rnacentral:lncRNA from 1 species
UCCGGGCGGGUUCGGCGGGUCCGGGUUGGGUUUGCACACCCCUAUAUAGAAGAAGAGUAUGCAUAUCAUUUAACAAAAAUACAUAAGACAAAAAAAAAUACAAAAUGCAGAUAGAUUUGGAGUAAGAAAAACCUGCACUCUGUGAAUUCCACUCUCAAAUUUCAGCUUUCCAUAAACAAUGAGAUUCAGCUUUCCAUAAACAAAGAAUCACGGAGGAUGAGAUUUAUGGCUAAAAUGAAUUUGAAAUUUAAUUUAAUUUGGGGCUAUAGAAUAUAGGGUAAAAUAAUAAAUUUCUAAUAAUUAUUUGUUGGGUCCCGGAUGGUCACUGAAUAGGUGUAUGGGGGGGGAUACACAUGUAUGCUAUUUUUCAAAAACAAACUUUUACAAAUAACUGAAGAGUAUCGACUGAUACUGAAAAGGUUGACUGAUGUGAGCAGUUAAAGAAACUUCAGUUGUAAAGUGGUUGUAGAGUGAUCUGAAGUAACUUCAGUAUUUUUUAUUUCAGUUAGGCUCAGAGUUUAACUGAUAUCCACGUAAGCUUCAGUCUAGAAUUUAUAAACAGAGGAGUGUUAUGAAUCUUACUGAUUAUCCGAAGAUUUAUCAGUUAGACUAAUAACACUAGCAGCGAAAAAUUAAACUUAGUUCAAAUAGCCUUUAGAAAGGUUCUCACUUAAUAAAAUCCUUAGUUUCUCUUUUCAGUUAGUCAGUUUCAGUUGUCAAAUAAUUUUAGCGCAAAUAAAAAAUAACUGAAAGCAAAUAAAGAACACAAGGAUUUUUACGUGGUUCGGAACAAGUUCCUACGUCCACGAUCAGUUAAACACACUGACAAACACUCUGCGCUUGUGCUUACGGGUGCACAACAAACCUUAGACUGAAAAUAGAAUUUCUAGUACCAACACACUGGGUUGGAUUUCUCGCUCUUUCUUAGCACGCUAAGACAAAAUGCCUUUCCAGCGGGUGGCUAAGAACUCUGGAGUCAGAGCACUGGUCUGAGCUCCUCUCUUCUCAAACUCUCUUUUCUCUCAGUUGAAAAGAGUUCGAAAUACCAACUAGAUUACAGAGAACAAACUCUCUGUAAUAGGAAACUUAGGCUUUGGAUAAAACAAGGAUUUGCUUAAGAUACUAAGAGAAUGUGUAUAAUCAGUGAACUGAUUUAGGCUUUGAUAAUUCUCUUCUUCGAUUCAAACUUUUGAAGGCAGUGAAAGGCUGAGUUGCAAUUUCGGUAGAGGUUCAGCUUGUCCGUUUGAAUCGGACAAGAUUGUGGUGUUCCUCUAGCUCUAUUUAUAGGCAAAGUCUUGAAUAGAUCCGUUGGCUGAGAUGGUCUUCAAGAAUUCGUCUGUUGUGAGAGAGAUUUGAAUUUGGCUGAGGCUUUAAUCUUCGAGGUUUCUAGUUUGGUAAAGAACGGCGUCUGACAAACAUGGUUUUCGUACCUCAAUUCCACAUGUUUUGUUGUCAUUUCCCUUCAUGUUUUGCUUGUGAAUGCUUGUUUGUGCCCGAAUAUUUAGUAUUUAUGAAGUUUUGAUUGCUUGGUAUAGUUUUUGAGUUUUUUCAGGGCAAAUCAAGAGUUGAUUGGAGAAUUGUGAGAGCAUAGGAUUGAAGUACGUCUCGAGAGGAAUCCAUGAGCGAGAACGGCGCCCGAAUCGGAGCUCGGACGAGGGAGAACGGGGCCNUUUAGCUCUCCUUUUGCUUUAAUUGUGUUGUUUUUAAUAGGAAUGAAGUUGUAUUUAGCUCUCAAUGAGUCAAUAUUAUUCAAUCUGCACGUCUGAUGCAGGGAAACGUAAGGAAUAUAGGUUGCGCCGUUGAUUCUACGUGAAUACCAGCAGAACACUAUGAGAGGGAACAAACCCUAGUUUUCUUAUUUCUUUUCAAAACGUCUCCAUACUCUAAACAAGACCCUAUUUAUACUAAUAGUUCAAUUAAAAAAACUAAAUAACUAAAGAAAACCAAAAUAUAUGAAUAAAAGGAAACAACUAAAAGAUAACAAAGGCUCUAAAUGAGUCGGGCUUUGACAGCGUCGAUCGCAAGUGGAUCGUGCUUUGCUAAGAAUAGGGCCGCAGCUUCAUCUCCAUCAUUCUCUCCUCCGUCGAAACGAUUCGCCCUCGAAUAGUUGUCAGCUUCAUCUCCAGAAGAAUUAUCACCAUGGAAGCGAAUGAGAUGUUUGACAUUGAAAACAUCAGAAGUGCGAAUGUGGCUGGGCAAACGAAGGCGAUAGGCAUUCGGGUUAAUCUUUUCAACAAUCUCCAGAGGACCAAUCUUGCGAGACUUCAAUUUAUUAUACUCAUGGGCUGGAAAAUGAUCACGAGUCAAGACAGCCCACACAAAAUCACCGACAGCAAAAUGCACCUCACGACGAUGACUGUCGGCCGCCUGUUUGUAACGAUUGUUAGCUGCCUCCAGAUUCAUGCGGGCGGUCGCGUGAAGGCGUGCCAACUCAGAAACGAGUUCGGCGGCUGUUGGGGCCGGGGUAGGCGAGGCAGGCAGCGGCAAAAGAUCAACGGGGCCGCGAGGGAUGACGGCGUAAACCAACUGAAAGGGACAGAACCCAGUACUCCGGUUGAGGGCGGAGUUGUGAGCAAACUCGGCUUGGCUUAAACGAAGAUCCCAAGAUUUCAAAUUGUCGCCAACCAAACAACGCAAUAAAUUGCCCAAUGACCGGUUAACCACCUCGGUCUGGCCAUCCGUUUGAGGGUGGUAGGCGCUACUAAAGUGAAGCUCGGUAUUGACAAGACGCCACAAAGAUCGCCAAAAAUGGCUGAGGAAACGAGUAUCACGAUCAGAAACAAUCGAAGCAGGCAGCCCAUGAAGGCGAUAAAUCUCUCUAAAGAACAGCGCAGCCACAUGGCUAGCAUCGGCAGAUCGUUUACAUGGUAUAAAAUGGGCCAUCUUGGAAAAACGAUCCACCACGAGAAGAUAGAAUCAUGCCCACGUUGGGUGCGAGGUAAACCCAACACAAAAUCCAUGCUUAGAGCAACCCAUGGCACAGAAGGAACAGGUAAAGGCGAUAAAGGCCGGCAUUGGUGGCUGAACCUUUUGACACUUGGCAAAUGCGACAGCGCUCGACGAAGCGAGUCAUAUCUUUGCGAGCAGAAGGCCAAAAAAAGCGUCGCAAGAGAAGUUCAACAGAACGAUCCGGCAACAUGACCAGAAUUAUGAAUUUCAGCAACAAGCUUGCCGCGUAAACUACAUGCUGGAAUACAUAAAGCAAGCCUUUAAAAAAAAACCCUCAUGCGUCGAAAAUUUGGGGUCUGAAGAAGAGGUAGCUGCAUAAGGAUUUGGCCAAAAAUAACUGUCGGUGGAGUAUAAAUGGCGGAAUUCAUCAAAUCCGGCAACAUCAAUACGCAUUUCGGCAAGAAGCAUAGAAGACGACUCAAGGCAUCAGCAACUUUGUUCAAAACCCCCGAUUUAUGUGAAGAACAAAGGUAAACUGCUGGAGGAAAGAAGACCACUUGGCAUGACGAGCGGAUAAGGAAUCUUGGCUUGAAAGAAACCGCAGGGCCUCAUGAUCAGAGAAUAAUACGAACUCUCGUUGAAAGAGGUAGUGGCUCCAAUGACGAACACACGCACAAUAGCAUAAAACUCGACAUCAUAUGUACUAUAUCGUGUGCGAGCGCCGGUGAGCUUCUCACUAAAAUAGGCGACAGGACGCCCCCCUUGGCUAAGUACAGCGCCUAUGCCCGCCUUCGAGGCGUCACAGUGCAAUUCAAAUGGUGAAUCAAAAUCUGGAAGCACUAGUAACGGGGGCGUUGGUGAGUUUAGAUUUGAGAAGACUAAAUGCAGCUGCAGCUUCGGGAGUCCAAAUGAAUGUUUUGCCAUGCAUGACAUCAGUAAUAGGGGCUGAAAUCGCGCUGAAGUGGGCGAUAAAACGCCGGUAGAAGGAGGCAAGACCAUGGAAACUACGAACUUCGGUCAAGGUAGUCGGCGUCUGCCAAUCGCGAAUAGCAGCAAUUUUUGAGUCAUCAACGCUAAUACCUUCAGCAGAAAUUCGAUAGCCAAGAAAUAGGACCGAAGUGACGGCAAAACAACAUUUAUUCGGAGAGGCGAAGAAACGUUCUUGGCGGAGAAUGAGCAGUACGGCACGUAGGUGAGAUAGGUGAUCAGAUUCUGACUUGCUGUAUAUCAAGAUGUCGUCGAAAUAUACGACCACACACGUGCCGAUAAGCGGCCGCAGAGUUUGAUUCAUUACGCGCAUAAAAGUGCUGGGCGCGUUAGAUAGACCAAAUGGAACGACCAACCACUCAAAAAGGCCUUCACGAGUCUUGAAGGCCGAUUUCCAUUCAUCACCAGGACGAAUACGGAUUUGGUGAUAACCGCUCCGCAAAUCCAAUUUACUGAAAAUAGUAGCACCGGAUAGUUGAUCCAAUAAAUCAUCCAGACGAGGAAUAGGAAAGCUAUACCGGACAGUGAUCUUAUUUAUAGCGCGACUAUCACAACACAUACGCCACUCGCCAGUUUUCUUCGGAAUGAGUAAUGCCGGAACAGCACAAGGGCUCAAGCUUUGUCGAAUGAGGCCUUUCUGAAGAAGUUCUUCGACUUGACGUCUGAACUCAGCGUGCUCAGAGGGACUCAUGUGGUAGUGAGGUCUAUUAGGCAGCGGCGCUCCCGGGAUAAGAUCAAUAUGGUGUUGGGUAUCCCGUAAAGGAGGAAGCCACCAGGGAGGUCAGCAGGAAAUAAAUACUGCAAAUUCUGCUAGGAGAUCAGAAAUCAGAGGUGGUAAAAUCGGAGAAGUGGUUACCUCAUGUGGAAGCAGUAAAAAUAUAGGUGAAUCUGCAUCCCAUUCGUGAAAAAAAUUAUUUCGAGAAAUGAGUAGAACACGGCCGUUGGAAGGCGAAGGUGCCGACACUAGAGGUGGAGAAGUGGCGGGAACAGAUGAUGGUAUUGACGGCAAAAGUACCAAUUUCACACCCUCGUGGACAAAAGAAUAAGUGUUAUGGCGACCAUCAUACAUAACACUUCGAUCAAACUGCCAGGGACGACCCAAUAGUAAAUGAUAGGCAUCCAUGGGCACAAUAUCACACCAAAGAGAAUCUGUAAAUUUAUUGCCAAUCGAAAAGGUCACCAGAGCACGAUGAUUCACAAGAACGGUAUGACCAUGUUGAAGCCAAGCAAGGGAGUACGGCUGGGGGUGAGGUUCGGUGGUGAGUGUGAGUCGGGCAACAGCAUCCGAAGCAAUGACAUUUUCACAAACGCCUGUAUCAAUAAUGAAGCGACAGACUUUUCCAUUAAUAGUGCACGCGGAUUGAAAAAUUAAAUUGCGAUGAACCUGAUGAUCAUCAGUGGCUCGAGGCGUUAGAUAAGUGCGGCGGAGCACAAGGGCAGCGCCAACAUCGGGUAGUAAGUGCUCCUCAGGGAUUUCUGUCAAUGGUUCUUCAUCAUAGAUUGGUGGGUUAGAAUACUCCAUAUCAACCUGAGGGUUAGUGAGUAAGCCGCGAGAGUUCUUAGCUCUGGGGCAGGCUGCUUGACGAUGGCCUGGUUCCCCGCAAUUGAAACACUGACCAGUGCGAGGUGGUGGAACGGGGGCUCGAGAGGUUGGCGGCUCCAGCGUUGAAUUGCGAACUGGUGGAGGGCGACGAGCCAACUGUUGCUCGAGUAAAAUAGCCCGUUGAUGAGCUUCGGAAACAGAGAUGGGAGCAAACAUGUUAAGUGUAUCUUGGAAAGGGAGACGAAGGCCCCCAAUGUAUCGGGAUACGAUCUGAUCGGUGGAUUCCGACAAGUCGUUUCGUGCUAGUAACUGAUAAAAGUCUCUGGAUGUCACAGCCCAAAACCGUUUAGUUUCUUUGCAAAUUUUAUUUGAAAAAUAUUAUAGUUUCAAGUUAUUAAUAUAUAUAUCUAACAGUCGAGUUUGUGAUGAAUCUAGUCGCGCCCCUAGUUAGAUGUGACUUUGAACUAUAAAUUGUACCUAUGGAAAUAAAGAUCUAUACUCUCAACAUAUUUUUUUUGGGCCUAAAAAAAUUAUUUACUUAAAUAUAUUUAUUAUGACAUUAUAUUGAUUUUGGAUAAGAAAUAAAAAUAAUUUUUCAUAAUUUUUCAUAAUUUUUUUCACCGGAGUAUAUUAUAAAUUAUUGUUUUAAUUUAAAAGAAGGUAUAGGUGUAUCACUUUGCUGCAGCCAUUUCAUUUCACUCAGCCACGUUUCAUCUCAAAACAUUCUUGAGCCACAAGUAUCAUCUCAAAUUUUCUUAUUUAAAGCAUCAUCCUUUAUCAUCUCAGUUUUCAUGCCAAAAACGCAGCAAUCUUUAAAAUCAUUUGUGCUCUUUUAUCUUCAAGGUAAUUUUAUUAUUUCUGCAAAUUUUCAUUCUCCUACAGUUCACUUCUAUAUCUGCACAAAAUACAAUUUUUAAUAAUCUUUAAACUCUCACAAUUCAUUUUACUCUCAAAUUCCAAAAUCCCACAUACUUCAAAUUCAAAAGCAAACACACAGCACAAGAGAUAGGUUAUUUUCAAUAAAAUUCACUUUUUGCAUUAACAAGUACAAAAGAAAAAAAAAUAAAAUGAAACUAGAAACAUAGAAGCAGAGUGGAGAUGGGGAGUUGUUGGUGAGCGGAUGCUGGACCGCCGGUGAAGCGGCGGCGGUUAAUAGUUAGCGGCGUAAGCAAUAGGAGAAGGGGAGGCACGCCGCCGGCGCUGUACGCCAUGGCAGCCGGCGGAGAGAAGCCGGGGUGGCGACCGACGAGGGAGGAGCCAGAGGCCGCGGCGCGGUGGCUUUGGCCGCUGCCGUGCUAUUCCGGGCAGACAGAGAGAGCAGGUAGCGGGGCGGUGCUGCUGUCAACGCAGAGGGCGGCGAUGGCAGCCCCGCUGCUGCUGUCGGCCAGGAGGUGAAGGAGAUGAGGACGGGGCGGUGGCACUGGCAGGCGGCGAAGAGAAGGACAGAGGGGGAUGAGAGGCGAGGGCGAGAGAUGAGGGAAGAAGGGAGAUAGGAAUAAGGGGGAAGAGAGAGGAGGCAGAGCCGCCGGCUCCGGCGACGGCGCUGCCGUCCGGUGGCGGCGGCAGGAAGGGAGACCGAGGGAGAGAGGGAAAAGGCAAAUGGGGGCUGCGUG